CCUCACUCUGGGGUCAGCCAAAAAGUGGCAUUUGCCGAUUCUCUGAACUACUCAAAAUUUCCGCUACUGGUUCUCCAGAACCUGUCAGAACCUGCUGGAUUUCACCCCGAUACUCUGUCUUAAAAUCAGGUUUGGUAGAAUCUCUAAGCUCAGAUGUCAUUAUCAGGAGAUUAAAAAUGUAGUUAUUUUAAAGAUGUUUAAAUUUUACAUUUUUAAUAUGUUAAAAUGUUUUUCCUUAAUUCAUUUUUCAGGAGGAAGGCACUACCUGCAUGUCAUCCAAGAGAACUUUAAAUAUUACUCAGAUUCAUUUAAUGGCUGCUCUUGAAAGUACAAAGCCUUCCAUUAGUCAGGAAGACUGGAAUAAGUUUGCUGAACUUUAUGAAAAUUUUCAAAAUCCAAAGAGAAAAGAAUCCAGUGGAACAAUUUUCAAACCAGGACAAAAAGUAACAUUAGCUUAACUUCUGUUAAAGAAGUAGUAAUCAUGUUUACUAACAAUUUUCUAGUAAAGUCUUUAUUUGCUAAAUUGUAUCUAUGAACAGUCUAUGUUACUGUUAAUAUUGCAAAGAACAUUUGUUUACUUGUUAAAUUUUAUCUGUCAAUAAGUCUAUGUUACUGUUAAUAUGACAAGGACAUUUAAUUAUUAAUUACUUCAUGAUUAUUUUGCAUAAUUUUAAUUUUCAAAGUAUGUUUUACUGAAAACUAUAUUAAAACCUUUUGAGAUAAUUACCUUUACUUUGUAUUCAACUUUUUUUCUUGAGGGGAUUGACAUUCUUGGCUUAGUCAUUCUCUUGCUCUUUCAGAAAUAAAAUUAAGCAAUUUAACAACUGUC